AUUCCAUAAUGUGGGCAUUUUAUUUGCAACUCUUUAAAUCACUCCAAUGCAUCAUAUAAAGAUUUCCCAUCCAGCUGGUGGAAAUUAUUAAUCUCUCCUCUUAUUCU